GUUAGCAGAGAGGGGAUUUGGAUGGUGCAAAAGGUUGUAACCGAUCAUAAUCAUUAUCUUGCUAGUCCCAAUAAGGUGCACAAACUGAGGUCCCAACGACGUGUUAUAGAAGCAGACAGACAUCUAAUUGGCCAGAUACGGGAAGCCGGAAUGAAGCCAUCCCAGGUGUAUGACUUCAUGGUAGCGUUUUACGGAGGACCAGACAAAGUGCCAUUCGCAAAGAUGGACUGCAAUAACGAGAUUGGUCGUGAGCGCAAAAAGUACUUAGAAUCAAAUGAUUCACAAACACUUCUAGAAUACUUGAAAAAUAAGCAGAGAGAGGAUCCAACAUUUUUUUAUGCCAUUCAAGUAGAUGAGAAAGAUGGUCGGAUUGCUAAUUUCUUUUGGGCAGACGGACAGUCUAUCAUGGAUUACGCAUGUUUCGGAGAUGCUAUAUCAUUUGACACUACGUUUCAAACUAAUAAGUUUGAAAUGCCUUUUGCUCCAAUCCUG
rnacentral:rRNA from 1 species